rnacentral:pre_miRNA from 1 species
AAGAUACUCCCUCCGUCAUCCCAUAUUAAUUGUCAAAAUAUUACAUGUAUUUAGAUGCCUUUUAGGCAUAGAUACAUCCAUAUUUAGACAAAUUUGAGACAAUGAAUGUGGGACGGAGGAAGUAGUUG